GACGAACGCUGGCGGCGUGCUUAACACAUGCAAGUCGAACGGAAAGGCCCUGCUUUUGUGGGGUGCUCGAGUGGCGAACGGGUGAGUAACACGUGAGUAACCUGCCCUUGACUUUGGGAUAACUUCAGGAAACUUGGGCUAAUACCGGAUAGGAGCUCCUGCUGCAUGGUGGGGGUUGGAAAGUUUCGGCGGUUGGGGAUGGACUCGCGGCUUAUCAGCUUGUUGGUGGGGUAGUGGCUUACCAAGGCUUUGACGGGUAGCCGGCCUGAGAGGGUGACCGGCGACAUGGGGACUGAGAUACGGCCCAGACUCCUACGGGAGGCAGCAGUGGGGAAUAUUGCACAAUGGGCGGAAGCCUGAUGCAGCAACGCCGCGUGCGGGAUGACGGCCUUCGAGUUGUAAACCGCUUUAGCCUGUGACGAAGCGUGAGUGACGGUAAUGGGUAAAGAAGCACCGGCUAACUACGUG
rnacentral:rRNA from 1 species